AUACUCUGGUUUCGCUUCAGAUUGUAUAAAUCUUUUGCCUUUUGCUAAAGAUUUCCAUAGAGAGGAACAUUUAAAUAAAAAUAAGUAAAAAAAGAAUAG
rnacentral:snRNA from 1 species